rnacentral:rRNA from 1 species
ACGCUGGCGGCGUGCCUAAUACAUGCAAGUAGAACGCUGAAGCUUGGUGCUUGCACCGAGCGGAUGAGUUGCGAACGGGUGAGUAACGCGUAGGUAACCUGCCUCUUAGCGGGGGAUAACUAUUGGAAACGAUAGCUAAUACCGCAUAAAAGACGAUAUCGCAUGAUAUUGAUUUGAAAGGUGCAAUUGCAUCACUAAGAGAUGGACCUGCGUUGUAUUAGCUGGUAGGUGAGGUAACGGCUCACCUAGGCGACGAUACAUAGCCGACCUGAGAGGGUGAUCGGCCACACCGGGACUGAGACACGGCCCAGACUCCUACGGGAGGCAGCAGUAGGGAAUCUUCGGCAAUGGGGGCAACCCUGACCGAGCAACGCCGCGUGAGUGAAGAAGGUUUUCGGAUCGUAAAGCUCUGUUGUAAGUCAAGAACGAGUGUGAGAGUGGAAAGUUCACACUGUGACGGUAGCUUACCAGAAAGGGACGGCUAACUACGUGCCAGCAGCCGCGGUAAUACGUAGGUCCCGAGCGUUGUCCGGAUUUAUUGGGCGUAAAGCGAGCGCAGGCGGUUUGAUAAGUCUGAAGUUAAAGGCUGUGGCUUAACCAUAGUUCGCUUUGGAAACUGUCAAACUUGAGUGCAGAAGGGGAGAGUGGAAUUCCAUGUGUAGCGGUGAAAUGCGUAGAUAUAUGGAGGAACACCGGUGGCGAAAGCGGCUCUCUGGUCUGUAACAGACGCUGAGGCUCGAAAGCGUGGGGAGCAAACAGGAUUAGAUACCCUGGUAGUCCACGCCGUAAACGAUGAGUGCUAGGUGUUGGGUCCUUUCCGGGACUCAGUGCCGCAGCUAACGCAUUAAGCACUCCGCCUGGGGAGUACGACCGCAAGGUUGAAACUCAAAGGAAUUGACGGGGGCCCGCACAA